rnacentral:rRNA from 1 species
UACGUAGGGGGCAAGCGUUGUCCGGAAUCAUUGGGCGUAAAGCGAGCGUAGGCGGCCCGAUAAGUCUGCUGUAAAAGUCAACGGCUCAACCGUUGAAAGCCGGUGGAUACUGUCGGGCUAGAGUUCGGAAGAGGCAAGUGGAAUUCCUGGUGUAGCGGUGGAAUGCGCAGAUAUCAGGAGGAACACCUAUAGCGAAGGCAGCUUGCCGGGACGAUACUGACGCUAAGGCUCGAAAGCGUGGGGAGCAAACAGG